GGCAGUCAGCUUGAUUUCACAUACCUGUGACCUGCUUGGGGUUAGGAAAUUAAAGUACAAAAUGAUGGGAACUACUACAAUGAGGGAGAAUGGAUCAGACAUGAGACAUACUUUCUCUCCUUAGUAAAUAGAAAGGAGGUCACUGUUAACAGAUGGUCUCUGGUAAGGUGCAAAGGUUAGUUCCCACUUACAGAAAGAGCAGUUGCAACAGUAUGUAAGAAAUGUGAUAUUAAGUGAUAUUAAGCUCAGGGAAUAUAUCUUUUCUCCCUGUUGAGACUGAAACAUCAUUUCCUUCUUGUUGAGUGGAGGUAUUAAUGUAUUCUCAGCAAAGUAUUUAUGAAUUUGAGUUGGAAGUCAGAAGGCUUAUGUAGAAGGUGGUAUUUUGCUUAUGAAAUUAAUUCAUAAAGAUAUCAAUGUAUUAAAGAUUAAUGUAUAACUUGAGGUGGUUGUACAUUAAGUCUAUAUGUAGUUACUCUGUACACUUUAUCAUAUUUGACUAAAAUGAGAAAGUAACAAAUUAUUUGAAUUGAAGUGACUUAAACUGUUUUUUGGAUUUAGAAUUGCAUCACAUCUUUUUCAUGACAUUUGUGGUUUUAACUUAGGAAAUUGAAGUGGACACAAGUGGUGCAGUUGUUAUAUAUGAAGACUUUACAAGAGAUGCUUAUGAUGUUGGGUAUCAGACUUUUGGAGAUUCCAAAGGAGAAGGUAAAAGUGAAGAGGAGGAAAAGCGGCGAAUUGAGGCUAGAAGAGAGAAGCAAAGGCGUAGAAGGGAAAAAAACAGCGAGAAAUAUGGUGAUGGAUACAGGUUUGUGUCCUAACUUCUGUCUUGUGUGCUUUGGUUUUCUUCUGCCUUAUCCUUAUUCUGUAAGAAUAUGUCUUCAUUCCUGAAAGGACCUUUUGGACUGAUUUUAAAUGAAAAAUAAAUUCAACAAACAAGCAGAAAUAAACGGCACCCAAAUCUCUUGAUUUAGAAGACUGGAUAUUCCAGUCUUCUAACAGCAUAAGAAAGAGACAUGGACCUGUUAGAGAGGGCCCAGAGGAGGUCCACAAGGAUGAUCAGGUUAAGAGAGCUGGGGUCAUUUAGCCUAUAGAAGAGAAGUCUCUGGGGGGAGACCUUAUAGCGACCUUAUUGUAGUAAAGGGGCCUAUAGGAAAGAUGAGGGACUUUUUGUUCAGGGUUGUAGGGAGAGGACAAGGAGUAACAGUUUUUCUCUAAUAGAGUAGAUUUUGAUUAGGAAUUGGUGAAGAAAUUCUUCAUGAUGAGGAUGGUAAGGCGCUGGCAUAGGCUGCCCAGAGAAGCUGGGGAUACCUCAUCCCUGAGAAGUGUUCAUGGCCAGAUUGGGUGGGACUUUGAGCAACUUGAUCUAGUGGGAGGUGUGCCUGCCCACGGCAGGGUGGUUGGAACUAGGUGAUAUUUAAAGUCCCUUCCAACCCAAGAUGUUUCAUGAUUCACUUGACCCCUACUGUAUCAGGGAGUAUGUGAACUACAAACCUCUUCCUGAUGAAAGCAUCACUGNAGAUUUCAAAUUUGUGAUUGUUGUAACGUUAUUUUUCCUCUAUUUAGGCAGGUAGGUGUUCAUGUUUUAUAACCUCAGGCAUCAAACAUAAUUGCUUGAGUCUUAUAUAUAGUUUGUGGAGAGAAGGAAUUGGAGUAUCCAGAUGAAAUACAUCCUCUUUUAACAUUAUCUUCAGUGAGCCUAGUCUUGAUGCCUGAAUUUGUGUGAAUAUUCUCCUGUGGGUCAAUUUGACAUGUUUAACAAUUGAAAGUUCUAACUUUCCUGGUAUAGAGUAACUAAUCCCUCUUCCAGUCCUCUGGAAUGACAAAUUUCUUGUUAAUGACUUGUUACAUCACUUGUUUGUUCACUCAGGGGUUACUGCUGAUGACCAUAUGAUGAAAGUUGAGACUGUUCACUGCAGUGCUUGCAGUGUCUAUGUUCCUGCAUUGCACAGUUCUGUUCAGCAGCACUUAAAGUCUCCUGAUCACACAAAAGGAAAACAAGUAAGAUAUGGCAUAUUACUUAAAAAGAAGAAAUAAUGAUAAUAGCAAAGAUUAUAAUCUUAUAGUAGGUGAGCAGAGUAGGUCAUUUCUAAACUAUAUUAGCAUUAUUUCUCUUAAAAUCUAGAAUGCCCUUUGUAAACAUGUCUCAUGAAGUAACUGGCAUUUGGACACCUACAGUUAAUCUAAAGUUGGGGUACUUGAUA
rnacentral:lncRNA from 1 species